UACGUAGGGUGCGAGCGUUGUCCGGAAUUAUUGGGCGUAAAGGGCUCGUAGGCGGUUUGUCGCGUCGGGAGUGAAAACCUCGGGCUUAACUCGGGGCUUGCUUUCGAUACGGGCAGACUGGAGGUUUGCAGGGGAGAACGGAAUUCCUGGUGUAGCGGUGAAAUGCGCAGAUAUCAGGAGGAACACCGGUGGCGAAGGCGGUUCUCUGGGCAUUACCUGACGCUGAGGAGCGAAAGUGUGGGGAGCGAACAGG
rnacentral:rRNA from 1 species